rnacentral:rRNA from 1 species
UGGGGGAUUUUGCACAAUGGGCGCAAGCCUGAUGCAGCGACGCCGCGUGAGGGAUGAAGGCCUUCGGGUUGUAAACCUCUUUCGCUGGGUUGAAAGGCCAUGCUUUGGGUGUGGUUGAUUUGAACUGGUAAAGAAGUACCGGCUAACUACGUGCCAGCAGCCGCGGUAAUACGUAGGGUACUAGCGUUGUCCGGAUUUAUUGGGCGUAAAGGGCUUGUAGGUGGUUUGUCGCGUCUGUCGUGAAAUCCUGUGGCUUAACCAUGGGCUUGCGGUGGGUACGGGCAGGCUUGAGUGCGGUAGGGGAGACUGGAAUUCCUGGUGUAGCGGUGGAAUGCGCGGAUAUCAGGAGGGACACCGGUGGCGAGGGCGGGUCUCUGGGCCGUUACUGACACUGAGGAGCGAAAGCGUGGGGAGCGAACAGG